CGGAGACUUCCCACAGGGUGUGGAACAUACAGACCGGUGAAGCAGCCCCUGCUGUGUGCCAAGCACUGUCCCAGCAUGGAAGGGAAAGAACAAGGACCCUGCCCUCUUGGAGCGGCCAUGAACUCGGAAAUAAAUGUCACAGUGGUAAGCACUCCAAAGAAAAUAAGGCGAUGUGACGGAGGGGAAGGGGAUUUGGGUGGGGUGGUCAAGGCAGGCCUCUGAGGUGACGUUUGAGCACAUGUAUUAAUGACGAAGAGCUAUGUAAUGACCUGAGGACAAAGACAGGAAGAAGGCCAGUGUGGUUUAUUGAGAUGAAUGGAAGUUUCUAGGCAGGAGUUGACAGAGCCUCAUGGGCCGUGGUAAGAACUCAGUUAAGUAGUAGCUAUCGCCAGUAAUUUUUCUCCAGCUGUGAGCUGGUGACAAAAAUGCCACCUUAUGAUCUGCAGACAGGACUCCACUCCCAGGUAAUCAUGAUGCUUAGCACCUGUCUCUUGAACGCCGUAAAGGCCCAGGGUCAUGGGGGCACCAAGGGGCUGGAGCAGGUGGGCUACCAAGCCGGGCUGAGGCCAUCUGGGUCCAAUCUUUCUUCAACUUUGACACUGUUGACUUUUACUGACCUGGGGAUGGGCGUGUCUGGGAUUCUGGCAAGCGAUGGAAACAGCUGGCAGGUCCAGAAAGGUGGCCUAUACUGCAAAAAUCUAUGAGGCGUGAGGAGCUCACCCUAAUCCCUUCCUCUUUCUGCAGGAAUUCAGAGUUUGGACAAGGCUUCCCUCUUGAAAAGAGGUUCCACGGUUGGUCUCCAGCCUCCUACACCCUCCCUGUCACUGGGCGCCCUGGACUGGAAUGUGGUAGGCACAAGGCAGUGUUGAGCAGGUAUUCGGACACCUCUGGUUCCAGCCUUAGCUCUGUUCCUAUCGCCUCGUUAGUAAAAUAAAAUAGUACCACCUCUCUC